GGGGGGAGUAUAAAAUUUAGUGUUAUCUUCUAUUCAAAACAGACAUCCAAAAUAUGAAAAUACCAUGUCCCUCAGCUGCUGCCCUGGUCCCUCGUUUCCAGAGUCAGGCCCUGUAUGUUUGUCCCUUCAAUGUGUAUGACUGAGAGUACAUCCUAUGAGCUGCUUGUGUAUCUCUACAUGUAGACGUGAUGAGCCUUAUAAGAGACAAUCUUAACUGCCACAGCUCUCUGAGCGGGAUUUGCAGGUAUCUGUAUGAGCUCCUCCAAUGUAGUGUGUUUAACCACUUGUGGAAAGAGCUCACACAUCAGCUGUGUCACUGCCUUUCUUCUGCACAUACUGUAUCUACUGCACUGCUGCGUCACUGGCUCCACCAGGAUUAACCAGUCUACAGCAGGCUGUGAUUAGAUUCCUUUUCCAAUCACAGUUGCUACUUCUGCAGGCUCUUUGAAGCAGGAGUUUUUACUUUUCUGUCUCAUAUUUUGUUUAGCUCUGUCAUGGUUAAUAAAUGACCAUACAGUCUCUGAAAGUUAAAUAAAGUGUGGGUGCUCUGUUGGACAGGAAAGCAGUGUGUUUAUGUGCCAGUCUUUAUUGGAGGUAACUUGAGGCAAGUGAAAUCAAAGAGUGAGAGCAGACUGCUGUACAACUAAUGCUGUGUUUAUCUUCUGCAUAAAGCCUUGUUGUGUAGCAACCUGAUGUGCUUUGGCAUAAACAAAUAAAGUGUGUUCAAAUACAGUGUAGUUUUGUUUCUUUUAAUUUUUUAAAUAAUAUUCAUUUUUCACUUCCAACUUGAGCACAAGGUUCAGAGAAUAAUCCUCGUGCUCAAUGUCAGUCAAGGUUAAACUGCUGUUGAGGCUUUGAGAAGCGUGGAAUGGCAAUCUGCAGCACAGACUGUUAAAUUCUCUACUUUUUUCUACUAUGAUUCCAAAGGUUGGCUCUUCCCAUCUUUAUCUGGGCUAAGUUUAUGAGACUGUAAAUAUGUAACUGAGCGGCUAAACUGAAAUAUGUAUAAAGGAGUGGAAAAAUUAUGCUUAUGUGUGUGUGUGGCCAUGUUUUUUUUUUUUUUUUUUUUACCUUGUGGGGACUAUUUUCCAGGAGUAUAUUAUUCAUAGGGUUUAUAGGUAUUUGUGGGGACCAACCACUGGUCCCCAUGAGGAAAAGUUCUCUUGCAUGGGAGUGAAUGGGGGUGGAUCCCUGAUAAUUAAAGGUAGGUUGCAGACAGGAACACACACCUGGACAGAAGUAAUACAGAAUCUUCAGCAGCUCAGUUCUGUCAACUGAACUCACAAAGACAAAACAUCAUGUCUUCUCCUAAAGAUGCACCAACUGACUGGGAUGCAGAUUUUGUUUAUGACUAUGAAACUCUGCGUGUGGGAGGACUGGCCUUCGCUGGAGUUAUUGUCUUCCUUUCCAUUAUACUGUUGUGUGG